rnacentral:lncRNA from 1 species
CUUCUGAUUAUUUUUUUUUCUUCCGCCUAAUUUUGUUCUUGCGAUAAAUAUUUGUUUCGCAAUAUGUCGCGUAGAUAUUUGGUAUAUGAUAUCUAACAGUUUAUGCGCUUUUGAAAUUUACCCUGCGUAACCGAAUACUUUUCUUUGUAGGAGUUAUCUCCCCAAACACUGUUUUCCUUGUGAUCACGACUCCUUCACAACCGUAAGAGAUUACGACAAAUUUAUUUUAUAAAAUUGCUCGUUAUAUCCUUCGCAUGAUUUGUCCAAUUUCGACUGAAGCAAUAUGAACACUCCAUAUGAGAGUUAUUUCCCCUUUUGUAUUUGAAAUUUUGAAAUGUAUUUUAAACUGGAACACCAUAAGUGAUAGAGACCUAGGAUCUUUUGAUUUGAGGUCCUUGGUCCAAAAAAAUGAAAAUUAGGUCAAGGUCAAAGGUCAAGGUCAUAUUCUAAUUUUUGAAUUAGGCUUAUUUCCACUCAUUUCCAGAAACCGUAUAAGAU